AUGAAAAAAGAGCAACGACACAGUAAGCGGAUGGAACCGAAGAACACCGCACAACUAAUUCAAGCAAUGAGAAAUCCUCAUGAAGAAGCUAAAACCCAGCAAAAUACUAACGAAGACCCUGCUGAAGAGCAUGCAAUCCAGCAAGCUCCUGUCAAAGCAAAAAGGCAAAAGAAAAAGGAAAAUGCUGAAAACAUCGUCGACACUGGUACCUUGCAGCAUCAGCCAUUACCUCUAAUGGUACUCCCACCAACUGAACCAACCGGCACGAAGAAACAAGCUGAACGCAAGAAGAAAAACAAACAACAAAGGGUAGAAAAAGAACAAGACAAUACCAACAACAAAGGUUCAGAUACCAAUGAUGACGACGAUGAUAGACAGCAUGAUGCAGAUUUCAUUCCUACAGACAGCGAUGAUGCCGAAGAGCACGACAAUGAUGCAGAACAUGACGACGAUCCCAAAUCAGGCAAGAAGGACAGAAAGAGAAGAAAGACAAGCGGGAAAGAAUUGGUAGUACCAACAGAUGACGAAGAACAACAAGAAACAGACGAAGAGAAAUGCCAAAUCAAGGCAGGGGCAACAUUCGCCCAUGUCAAGAAAGCAUGGAAUUUACUUAAAGACCGUCACAAGAAAGAUAUUAGGACGGCAGGAUUUGGCAGCAUAGAGAACUGCAAAAUAACGGGCUCCAUCUGCAGACCGCUUGCAGCACACAUCUACGACAACCUCAACACAGAAACCAUGACAAUAACCUUCGGUGAUGCUACUGAAGACAAAAAAAUCAAGAUUACCAAGGAAGCUACCCACAAGGUGUUUGGAUACCCAAACAGCACGCAAAGCGCCGCUAUCUUCGCCCGGACAGCUAUAAUGGUCAAGGACAUGGACUAUCCAGAAAUGGCAAAGAUGGAUUUCUACGAGGUAAUCGUCGAAUGUAUUAGGGAAGGAGCCAAGACAUGGCAGAAGCACAGGAUGUUGCCUCAGGAAGAAAAGAACAAAAAGCACGGCAAUGGUUUGGCACAGGUACCAGUAAUCAUGUACCUUGACUCCCUGCUGCUGCCAACCGACACAAAAGAAAUGCGGAAGAUUGCAAAGACAAUGGAAAAAACCUCAUUACCACGAGCAAACCAUCUCAAAGAGAGUGACCUAGCGAAAAUAGCUAGAGCAGACAUGAAAACGGACGGAAAAGCACGACCAGAUGACUAUGAAUUUGGCAAGAUACAGGAGAACAUCGUAAAGAACAGCAACACCAGCACACAACCAAACUGCUACCACCUCCACCCAAGCGCCGGCGCGAACCACGACAUAGUUUGCACAAGGUACCUCACAGACAACGCGACCCUGCAGAUGCUAGAGCAAGCAGAUCCAGCAGCAUCAAGUAGACUAGUCGAUCCCAACCGCACGAAUGAAAUAGUAGCCACAACAGAACAAAGAGAAAGGAGGAAAAGUAAGAAAGAAGAAGAGGACGAAGAGAGGAAGAGAAGAACAAAAUCAAGGGACGUGGGCAUUGACAAGAAGAAGAUAAAGCGGCAAAAACAGGCCAAGAUGAACUCCACCAGCAGGAUAGCAUCAACAACCCCAAAAAACAAGAAUGAACGCAACAAACAAAGCAACCUCACAACAGAAAGUGCUACAACAACAACUACCCCAACACAAGCACAAGAUACGAUGAACGUCAGAACCAGUGAAGAGGCUCAGCUGGAGAACAAUCAAGUCAGCAGUCCCGUCAACCAAAUGCAAGAGGCUGGACCACAAUCAACCGUUAGCAUAACAAACGACAAAGAAGAAGACAACAACGAAGAGGAGGUAUCACAAUCACUGCCAGACCAAGAGACAACCAGUGUUGAAAUUGAACCCCAUAGUGAACCUCAAACAGACGAAGGAGUCACAGAACAGGAAGUUUGUGCACAUGAGAUUUCCAGUGCCACAACAUUGCAGAUCACCAUGACGAGUACAAAGGAUAAAACCCAAGACAUCCAAGCCGAUGAGAAACUAGAGACUGUUAUACCUGACAAAGAAACAGUCAACGCAGGCACGAAUAACCCAGUCAUCAACACAGAGGAAACAAACAAGUACAUUGAUCUCGAAGAUCAAGAAGCAGCGCAACCAAAGGAAACUGGAAAACACACAGAACUUCAAACAACAACAUCUGAAGAGGAAGAGGAAGCAAACGAAAUCACUCGCAUAGACAUUGAACAAGAAAAAUUAGAGGACAGAACGAGACAAGGAGAAGCCGUAGUUCCAGCAGUAGACAGUCCUGCAAAUCCAGAGAAAGAGGCACAAGAAGCCCAGGAGAGCACCAACAAUCAAGACCAUCAAACACAACCAGAGGAGCCCAAUGAACAACCCGAACAUGUUCAUCAAACGAGAGAUGAGACAGAUGAGCAAAAGAAGGCCACUGAAGAAGGGAAACAUGUUCUUCAAACGGCAGACAUCAACGUCAAAGAAGACCUAGCGCCAAAAUAUUCACUCACCAAAAAAACGGCAGCAGAGACGACAGCAGCGACAACCACUGAAAAGGAAGACGAAGAACAAGCACAACAGUCAGCAGCAACAACGAGAACAGCAACAGAGACAACAGAAAUAGCAACGAUUGAGAAGGUCAGUGCCAUCCAAGUCGAGACUAAAAAACAAGACAGAAAAGACCACCAGCAAGACAUAACGGUUAACAAGGAAAAACAUGAUGCUAAGAAAAGCACAGACGACUCAAAUAAGGAUGGAGCAGAAACUGAACAAAAGGGCACAGUGAAGAAAGGGGGCAAAGAUAGCGAUUCCGUCAACAAAGCCAUCGAAGACCUGUACAACGCUAUAUGCAAGCCAUGGACAAAGAGAGAAAUGGAUCAGCUUUUCAUUACAACGGACAAGUUUGAUGUAAAUCUAGGACAUGUCUCCGAAAGCUUCAAGGUCGGUAAAUCAGUACGCACCGAAGCAAUCAAGCCCAUGCUAACAAUCUUGAGAAAACAACUCAAUGGCACACAGAGAAAGAUUCUGUCGUUAAGCAACACUUUCCUUCUACCAUGUUCGUUGUGCGGGUUUGAGCAAGAUGAAACUACAAGUCAUUACUUCACCAUCACAGUUAACAUGCAAAAACAGCGCUUUGAACUCCUUGACUCUUCAACUGCAUAUCUAGGCACAAUAGAAUUCUUCAACAAUGUAACCAGCAAACUAAUGAAAAUCUGGAAGCACAUAAGCACAGAGCUACAGCUUUCAGAAAAAAGCAUCAACCAUUACAAAAAGGUCAGACUGCAGGUGCCACUUCAAGGAGAAGACACAAUGGACUGCACAUUCUAUAUGUACAUGAACCUGAAGCACUACUCCAGUGAUGGAACAACAGCAACCUUAAAGCCAGAACAAAUACCAAAGUUGAGGAAAAAAGUUCUAUAUCAACUAAUCAGUCAACACAGAGGGAAUACAAAACUGUCACUAAUCAAGUGUACAACAGAUAUGCUGAAGUAUGAAGUAGAUAUAGAAGACAAAGAAAUGCAACAGGCAGAAUGUUGCAUACUAGAAGAGUUUCCGCCAACUCCCGGGCCAAAAGAUCAUAUUAUGCAUGCGACAACCACACAAGAGCAUGAAGUUAUUGAUAUAUCCUAUAAACGCAAAGAGAUUAUGGAUGUCAGCAGCCACGCCGUCGCCCAACAAUCUUUCACAGACCACAAACAAAAUGAUCCACCAAUAGAACCAGAUCAACCACCACCAGACGACAAGAUACUACACCAUGCCGAAGAGGAAACAGAUGAGCAAAAUAUCAAUAGCAAUAUCACGACCACAGAGCAACUGGAACAAACAGGCACUGAUUUAAAAGAGGAUGACAGAAGACACGACGUACCAAAUACACAACAACAGGUUUACGAGCAGAAGAAACAGCCUGUUCUUGUUCAAGAAGAAACAGGCUCGACAAGCAAUCAGCAAGGCACCACCAGCACCAUCUAUUUAGACUUCCUAAAACCAAAAACAAUGGAAAAGCAGGAAGAAGUUGAUGAAUUUUUUCCAAGCCUUAACCCGCUACAACUAGACGUGUACAACGACCAUGUAAAGAUGGACUCUAAGUUUGAUGUAAUCAAAACAUGGUUGGCCGACCAUGAAAGCUAUGAAUUCAACAAAAAUCCCAAGCCGUAUCUGACAAUCUUGCAGCAAGAGUCAGGAGAACAUUCAAUGCCUCAAUCAUCUGAGAACAGCUCAGACAAGAAAAUCUCGGUCAAGAAAAGGACGGUAAAGCCUUCAAGAAGGCUCCUUGGAGAAAUCAGGAUUCCUACUAUUGCCCCAAGAGAUUUCAAAUUUAUGAACAAAGCCAGAGCACUCCAUGAAUACCUAUUCAGCAAAGAAGGACAUGACGAAUGCAGAGAUCUAAACAUAUAUAUUAGCUCGAUGCAACCCGAUUGGAUUACAGGAAAACAAGCAAUGCAACAGCUACGGAAAGGAGAUCAUGAACAGAUGGAGGGCUCCAUCACAAACGCAUUGUUCGACGAAUGGACAGUGCAGCAACAAUACAACACAACCGAUAAAGCCAUACUUCCCGUAGAAUUUGCAAACAUCGUGCUCGGUGUUAAAACUAGAGAAGAAGAAGGACUAGCAGAAUUCAAUGAGGAAGAAUCAUUGAAACAGUUUGCAUCCCUUGUAACAGGGAAGGAACUUUUAAAGAAAAAGCUGAUUAUGAUACCUCACAACACAGCUAAACACUACACAUUGUACAUGCUCAACAAGUACACGAGCUCCAUUGACAUACUUGACUCACUGAAUUACAGACACGAAGACGGAAAAAAUACAUGGAAAACACACCAUAAGGAUCACCAAGAACUGGGUACGCAAUGCGGACACUUCAUGGUUCAGUUUGCAAAAUACUGGAAUGGCAUUGAUCUCAUAAAAGAUGAUGAGGAUUUCAACCAAAGCAACAUAGAUGCCGAGUGGAAACCAGAGUUCCUUUUUACAGCCAUAUUUGGUGAAACAAACCUAGUAAACUGGGAGCAACUACCUGGAAGAAUCAAAGAAUUCAAACUAGAAACUUCAAAGUUCUUUUCCACCAAUAAAGCAAAGAAUCAACUGGUUCCCAUGUAUCUCAAGGAAAAUCAAUGGAAAAAGCUCUCAACAGCAAACAUGCAACAAGUAUUUUAUACGCUGAUAUUCAUUCCAAUGGAGAAGCAUGACCGCUAUGUACUAUAUGUCCUGGACAAAUACAAACACAAAGUUCACAUUAUUGAUCCUCAAGAAACGACUCACAAGGAAUUUCAGAAAGAAAAGAUAGGCGUCGAAGAAUUGACAGAAGAAGAAGCAUGUCGAGUUCUUCAGGAAAAUGAAGAUGCUAAAGAAGAAAGAGAAAGACAGUUUGAUGAAUAUCAUGUUCAUAAGUUGGCAAUCGUACCUAGGUUUAAAGAAGUCUUCAACAUCAUACUAGGACAAACACUGAAUGCCAAGGGUACAAGAUGGCAGACUCAUACCGUGCAAGAUGUUCCAGUGGUAGAAAAGGGAGAAUUGACAUUUGUUGUUUUAAAGCUUGCAUUCCUCUACAAUGGUGAAAAGUUUGUCGAAGACCUAGAAGAUUUGACAGAUGAGGUCGAAGACUGGAGGGCAGAGGCAAUGUACAUUCUCUUAAAUAGCGAGAUGAAUCAAAUCAAAGCUAGUGAAAUGGGUGACGAGAUUAGCAAGAUCUUAAGCAAAAAUGAAGACUAA
rnacentral:rRNA from 1 species